AUGCAAGUCGAACGGUAACAGGAAGCAAGCUUGCUUCUUCGCUGACGAGUGGCGGACGGGUGAGUAAUGUCUGGGAAACUGCCUGAUGGAGGGGGAUAACUACUGGAAACGGUAGCUAAUACCGCAUAACGUCGCAAGACCAAAGAGGGGGACCUUCGGGCCUCUUGCCAUCGGAUGUGCCCAGAUGGGAUUAGCUAGUAGGUGGGGUAACGGCUCACCUAGGCGACGAUCCCUAGCUGGUCUGAGAGGAUGACCAGCCACACUGGAACUGAGACACGGUCCAGACUCCUACGGGAGGCAGCAGUGGGGAAUAUUGCACAAUGGGCGCAAGCCUGAUGCAGCCAUGCCGCGUGUAUGAAGAAGGCCUUCGGGUUGUAAAGUACUUUCAGCGGGGAGGAAGGGAGUAAAGUUAAUACCUUUGCUCAUUGACGUUACCCGCAGAAGAAGCACCGGCUAACUCCGUGC
rnacentral:rRNA from 2 species